rnacentral:rRNA from 1 species
GACGGAGGGUGCAAGCGUUGUUCGGAUUGACUGGGCGUAAAGGGCGUGUAGGCGGUCGGCCAAGUCUGAUGUGAAAGCCCGAGGCUCAGCCUCGGAAGUGCGUCGGAAACUAGUCGGCUGGAGCGCGAUAGAGGAGGGUGGAAUUCCUGGUGUAGCGGUGAAAUGCGUAGAUAUCAGGAGGAACACCGGCGGCGAAGGCGGCCCUCUGGAUCGUUGCUGACGCUGAUACGCGAAAGCGUGGGGAGCAAACGGG